AGUCGAGCGGCAGCACAGAGGAACUUGUUCCUUGGGUGGCGAGCGGCGGACGGGUGAGUAAUGCCUAGGAAAUUGCCCUGAUGUGGGGGAUAACCAUUGGAAACGAUGGCUAAUACCGAAUGAGAUCUACGGAUGAAAGGUGCCCUCUUCUUGAAAGGUAUCGCUAAAGGAUGAGCCCAUGUUAGAUUAGCUAGUUGGUGAGGUAAUGGCUCACCAAGGCAUCGAUCUAUAGCUGGUUUGAGAGGAUGAUCAGCCACACUGGGACUGAGACACGGCCCAGACUCCUACGGGAGGCGGCAGUGGGGAAUAUUGCACAAUGGAGGAAACUCUGAUGCAGCCAUGCCGCGUGUGUGAAGAAGGCCCGAGGGUUGUAAAGCACUUUUAGUGAGGAGGAAAGGUUAGUCGUUAAUACCGGCUAGCUGUGACGUUACUCACAGAAAAAGCACCGGCUAACUCUGUGCCAGCAGCCGCGGUAAUACAGAGGGUGCAAGCGUUAUUCGGAAUUACUGGGCGUAAAGCGCGCGUAGGCGGAUUGUUAAGUCAGUUGUGAAAGCCCUGGGCUCAACCUAGGAACGGCGAUUGAAACUGGCAGUCUAGAGUUUAGUAGAGGGAAGGGGAAUUUCUGGAGUAGCAGUGAAAUGCGUAGAUAUCAGAAAGGAACAUCAGUGGCGAACGCGCCUUCCUGGACUAAAACUGACGCUGAGUGCGAGAGCGUGGGGAGCAAACGGGAUUAGAUACCCCGGGUAGUCUACGCCCUAAACGAUGUCAACUAGCUGUGGUCUUAUUAAAAAGAUUAGUAGCGCAGCUAACGCGA
rnacentral:rRNA from 1 species